rnacentral:rRNA from 1 species
AUUGAACGCUGGCGGCAGGCCUAACACAUGCAAGUCGAGCGGAGCGGCGGACGGGUGCGUAAUGCCUAGGAAUCUGCCUGGUCGUGGGGGAUAACGUCCGGAAACGGGAGCUGAUACCGCAUCCUCUCAGAUGCGCCUAGGCCGGAUUAGCUAGUUGGUGGGGUAAAGGCAUACCAAGGCGACGGUCCGUAACUGGUCUGAGAGGAAGAUCAGUCACAAUGGAACUGAGACAGGGUCCAGACUCCUACGGGAGGCAGCAGUGGGGAAUAUUGGACAAUGGGCGAAAGCCGGAUCCAGCCAUGCCGCGUGUGUGAAGAAGGUCUUCGGAUUGUAAAGCACGUUAAGUUGGGAAGCGUUACCAACAGAAUAAGCACCGGCUAACUUCGUGCCAGCAGCCGCGGUAAUAC